rnacentral:rRNA from 1 species
GUGGGGAAUUUUGGACAAUGGGGGCAACCCUGAUCCAGCAAUGCCGCGUGCAGGAAGAAGGCCUUCGGGUUGUAAACUGCUUUUGUACGGAACGAAACGGUCCUGGUUAAUACCUGGGGCUAAUGACGGUACCGUAAGAAUAAGCACCGGCUAACUACGUGCCAGCAGCCGCGGUAAUACGUAGGGUGCAAGCGUUAAUCGGAAUUACUGGGCGUAAAGCGUGCGCAGGCGGUUCGGAAAGAAAGAUGUGAAAUCCCAGGGCUCAACCUUGGAAUGGCAUUUUUAACGCCCGAACUAGGGUGUGUCAGAGGGGGGUGGAAUUCCGCGUGUAGCAGUGAAAUGCGUAGAGAUGCGGAGGAACACCGAUGGCGAAGGCAGCCCCCUGGGCCUGCACUGACGCUCAUGCACGAAAGCGUGGGGAGCAAACAGGAUUAGAUACCCGAGUAGUCC